rnacentral:pre_miRNA from 1 species
AAGCCCUUACCCACCUCUUUGCUAAAUGUUUGCUAAUCAAAGAGAAAGGAAGGGUUGC